UACGUAGGGGGCAAGCGUUGUCCGGAAUCAUUGGGCGUAAAGCGCGUGUAGGCGGCUCGAUAAGUCUGCUGUAAAAGUCCAGGGCUCAACCCUGGAAAGCCGGUGGAAACUGUCGAGCUAGAGUCCGGAAGAGGCGAGUGGAAUUCCUGGUGUAGCGGUGAAAUGCGUAGAGAUCGGGAAGAACACCAGUGGCGAAGGCGGCCGGCUGGGGGCGCCCUGACGCUGAGGCGCGAGAGCGUGGGGAGCAAACCGG
rnacentral:rRNA from 1 species